rnacentral:misc_RNA from 1 species
UUCUCAAUAACUGCUAUGCGCUUUCCAUGGUCGGACGUCAAGAUAUGGUUUAAUAGAGUUGUCUUGCCGGAGCCGAGGAAACCGGUGAUGAUUGUGGCCGGAAUGCGAUCGUCCGGCGGGAUCUUGGUCAGGACGUCGUCCUCCGCCGUGGCCGAUGCUGAAGUCGCUGAAGUGGUGAAGCGACGCGCAGCUGCGUCCCAGCGCCGAGGGCGGGCCAGUCGUGCGACGAGCGCAAAAGGCGAUUGCAUCCUGUACGAGCGGACGGCGGCGGAGGUGGGAGUUCGCCGGCAGGGGAGGAGCGGGGAUGGGAGGCGAAGAGCGGCGGCGGUGGCCUGACGCCGAGCAAGGGAGGAGAAGACGGUCACGAAAUCCGUCGACAUCGCCGCCAUGUGAGAGAGAGAGAGAGAGG